rnacentral:tRNA from 1 species
GGUACCUUGGCCGAGUGGUUAGGCGUCGGUCUGCAAAACCGGUUACGGCGGUUCAAAUCCGCCAGGUACCUCUA